AAACAACUCUCGGCAACGGAUAUCUUGGCUCACGCAUCGAUGAAGAACGUAGCAAAAUGCGAUACUUGGUGUGAAUUGCAGAAUCCCGUGAACCAUCGAGUUUUUGAACGCAAGUUGCGCCCGAAGCCACUUGGUUAAGGGCACGUCUGCCUGGGUGUCACGCAU
rnacentral:rRNA from 1 species